GUUUUUCCUCUCCAGAUCUCAGUUUCCUCAUUUGUCAAAGCAGCUCGGGGCUAGACAGCCUCUAACUUCUCUGCCCACUCUACAAACCAGGAAAAAAUGCUUAAAAAUGUAAACAUGAGGGACUCCCCUGACGGCCAAGUGGUUAAGACUCUUCACUUCCACUGCAGGGGAUAUUGUUUGAUCUCUGAUCAGGGAACUAAGAUCCCACAUGUCUCAGGACAUACGCCCAACUAGAGAGGCCCACACACUACAAGGAAGAGUCAGCCCCCUCCACACAGACAAAUAAAAACCUCUUAGGAAACAGAUGCAACUGCUAUGUGAGGAGCUGGCAUUACCAUUCAGAGAGACUGAGAAUACGGAAGAACACAUUUGUGGAGCACAAACUAGAAGGAAGGGGUCGGGCAGAAGGUACUGGGAUUAGGGAGAGGACUUGUAUUUCAUCCAUCCAUCCAACCAUCCAUCCAUCCAUUCAAGGCCUUUUUAUAACUUCCUGUGCCCAGGAUGGUGCCAUGUCUUAAGGAAACUGAGAUUAAGAAGACAAGGACUCCUGGUACCAAGGAGGAGCCUGAUUUCAGCGGGGUAUUUGCUGUGGGAGCACGGAAGGUUGGUGAUUGAGCUGAGAUAUUAGGGUCUAGAUCUGCGCCUUUCUUGGAAACUGUUUACAGUUCUUUUAAGAGGACACACUGGCAAGAAAAGCCAGUUAGAGGAUGUAAAUGUUGCCCUCCUGGGUGUAAUGGGGCACUUCUAUUUUUUUCUGGGAGGUCAUGCCACUCACAAUCUAAGAAACUGGUGAACUGAGCUUCAUAUUUUGACUAACUGUGAACCAGAGAGAUGUCAGAAGUAGGGAGUCUUGUAGAAAACAAGUGACUGUAUCAUUUUUAGAUGAGAGUGUAGGUACUGAUGUAAAUUCUUGACUGGUUUUCACCUCAGAUUGGUCUUUAUAAUGAGUUACAGAGAAUUCUUUGAAAUGAGCACAUUUCUGAUAGUAAGCUAGUAGGUGUUUGCUAAAGGGGUUGAAAACAAGCAAUUUAAAUGUGUCGUCUAAAUACAGGGCUGGAAAGCAAGAUGUAGAACUGUGCAGACAACUUCUUUCCCAUUAUGUUUAGGAGGGGAAAAAAGAUCAGAGAAAAUGGAAGGGAAGGAAAUAUGCUGAACUGUUAACAGCAGGUGAGUCUGGCAGGAUUGUGUGUGUGUGCGUGCCCAGUCGCUCAGUCAUGUCCAGCGUUUUGUGACCCCAUGGACUGUAGCCUGCCAGGUUCUUCUGUCCAUUGGACUUCCCAGGCAAGAAUACUGGAGGAAAUGGCCACCUACUCCAGUGUUCUUGCCUGGAAAAUCCCGUGGACAGAGGAGCCUGGGGUCACAAAGAAUCAGACACCACUGAGCAACUGAGCACAGCACCAGCGCCCAGAGCCCGUCUCCUCCGCUGUCCCUGUGUCCCUGUCCUAUUAACUUUCCUCUGGGUAAGAAAGAGCACUUAUAAUUAAGACAAUGUCAUUAAAUUAACCCUCAGACUUCUCUUUUUUGAGCUAAAUCAUUUCAUCCGCUGGUGCUCCUUAGAACAUCUGUCAUAAAUUCCAGAUACUGUACUGGACAUGCAGUAAAUUCCAAAUAAAUUACGUGACGGCUCACUACCCUAAGCUCCAUAUAAAUGCAUCUGGAGGGAGGUUUUCAGCGGAGUCGUGCUUAAAAUUGGCUAUCUGGGGCAAAGUUUCUUGAAACCUAGGUUGACUACCUAAGGGUCUAGAUGUAAAAUGGAAAAUGUGGCAGAAAUUUAACUACAGGAGUGCUUCUCUAAUUAUAGCUCAGCUACGACUGCCCAGUGGGGGCGAGAUCUUUAAACAAAACUCCCCUAGAGGCAUGGAAGCUGCCCAGAGGCUUUGGAAGCCUAACUGGGAGCUACUGGCCCUUAGAAAAUCAGGAAGUGAUUCCAGGGUUGCUCAGGCUGUGUUCUAAGACCGUGAGCGGGGGAGAAGCGGGAAGGCUCAGAUAGAGCAGAAGCUGGCAUGGCCAAGUGCUUCCAGAAGGAUGUGACUGUGUUAAAGCAGCGCCUUUUUGAUCACCCUGGAUAAAAUUCAAAUAUUUUGAAAAGAUCCAGGAGUUUGGAGUUUCAGGGGUCCUUCAUUGCAGAGCUGGGAUGUUUGAUUUAGAUGGGGAUUUUAUAGGCUUUAAGGCAGAUUUUUUAUUUCUGGUGAGUAAUCAGUGACUCGUCACUGAAGGUGGAGGCCCUGCACGGCUCAAGCCCCAAGCUUCACUUCCCCAUUCCCUUCCCUGUGCAGGCGCCCGAGUGCAUGGCCGGGCAGCUCUGGGUCCCGGGAGGUAGUGAUAAAGCACCUCAGCCUCUGGCCUCCAGCCUGAUGGGGAUGAUGAAUGUAAAUAAAACAGCUCACAAGGACAAGUGCCCAGAGAGCUCCAGGAGGGACUGAUUAACCCUGUGAAGGGGAGUGGUUGGGAGAGGCCUAUUGCAGGGUGCGGCUGAGAGAGUUGCAACCCUGGGCUUUUGGGGAUGCUAGACUUUGACUUGGGAGGAAAUUGGGGUGAGUGCAUUCCAGGCACAAGGAACAGCAUGUGCUGAGGCAUCUGGCCGCCCAGCCAGAUGUGCUGAAGCUCCUUCUGUGCCCCCAGUUCUGUCUCUGGUUGGGUUUGGUUCUGUUUCGGGCCAAGGAGAAGCACAGUCUGUCCCGGGCCCAGCCGUCCACCCCUCUGGAGACUGGCCAGAACAUUCCAGCCCGGCCUCUGAGGAUUCUCUCCAUCUGUCUAUCCCACAGCUGGAAUCCAGAAUCCAGGGCUGUGACGUUUAAGUGGCUGUUUGCAUCUCUCCCCGAAGUAUCCCCCAAACCCCUUCGCAGACAGGCCGAUGCUCCAGCCAGGGUAUGGCUGAACCACAGGUGAAAUACAGGCUUUGGAGGCGGCCAGUUCCUGAUUGGGAUCCCCAACCCCGUGGGACAGGAGGAAGGAGGAAGACUGUUCCCUUCUCCUAACUAAGGUCAAGAUGAGUUUGGCAGACUUUUAAAAGAAAGGAAACACUGGGUCCUUUCCAUUCCUCUUUGUACCCCCUUCCCCUCCUGUGCACAUCCUGCCCGAGACUGUUCUCCUCUGGGCAACCACGGAGGCCUGUCCCAUCCCCCCGAAACACACCUCACUACUUAUCCCCUCCACUAGGAAGGUCCAUGCCCAGAGUACUGGCUUCCUUCUGGGGCAAGAUGAAUGCAACCUGGUGGUAAUUCACACUAGAGUGUGAAGGACUGAUGGCACCAUAUCCCCCCAGAGUCCCUGGGUGUGUAUGUGUGAGGGGCAAGUUUGGAUGAUGGCCCACCAGGGGGACAGGUGAGCCAGCCUAGCAUCACCCACAGACUUUCAUGUAAGCUCUUCCUAUUGUCCUCAGGAUGGUCCUUUCUUCUGCUUUUGUGUUCGGAGGCUCCUUGAAGUCUGCGGCAUUUGCAGAAUGAGGAGGGGCUUUGGGUGGGACCUCUGGCACACGGGUUAGCACAGCUGCCUUUGCUGCAGACCCCGGAUGGUGGAUGGCCAAAGGUGGACCCCGCUGAGUAACCCUGCUGGAACCAACUAAAACUGAGUAUGAAGGCCAGAAGCAAAACACAUCCUUGCAGAGGGGCGUUUAGAUGGACCGUCGGUCUCAUAUAAAGUCCCUCUACUGUCCUCUCGUGUGUGUGGGGGGGGUGGGGGGUGUGUGGUGUGGUGGCUGCGGGGUAAACAGAGUGGAGUGACCAGAGAAGAAAGAAAAAGGGCAGAGCCUGGAGGCUGGACAGAUGGCCGAAGGCCACAGGCUUCCUAGGCAGGUAAUGCCGGAGUGAGCCUUGGCACGUCUGCACUCUGGGAGGACGGAGCUCCUUCCCAGGUUAUUAAGAACCUCAGUACACAGUGCUUUGAAGUACAGACCCAACAGGGCAGAAGGCUGCGGAGCGCUUCUGCCUGGGGCCCUGACCGGUUGCUUUUUAACCAGUAGAGGGACCAGGGAUGCAGUUCCCUUAUUAAAAACCAAACAAACAAACAAAAAAAAGAAAGCAGAGCCAGCCAGGCAGGGCCGCGGUGACUUCAUCAGCCCUGAGACCCUGAUGCUGGAGGAGGAGGGAGAUGUGGGCUCUCCCCACAGCCAUCACCGCUGAGUCGAUCCAUCCGUGAAGGCAGUGCCACCCCUCUGAGCCAAAGAUGAAUUAUGUAACAGAGCCCAGAUCCCCAGGUGGGCGACUGCGCCGCAAAGGGGCCCUGGAAGACUCCUGCUCGGGUGCCCCCAGGUGCCUGAGGAUCAGCCGAAGGGAAGCAGGAAUGAAGAUGCAUCUGUUACUCGGAUCCCUGAAACGGGGUUUCUCAAAUUGUACAGUUACUGUCUUCGUGGAGUCCAGAAGAGCUUCUUGAAUAUUGCUCUGCAGGUCCCUGCAAUGAAGCCUGCUGCAGAGAUAUAAAGAAAAGCUACGGAGCAUCUGCAGCCGCUAUUAUACCAUCUGGUGGCUCAGAAAUAUUUUAUAAUCAAAUGAGUAAGACGGGUUUCUCGCACGCCCCAGUGCACAGCGUCCCCUCCAUGCCCCUCCCAACGCUCUCUCUGUCUCUCUCUUUCCUUGUCUCUCCUCUCUCUUUUUGUCCGUCCGUCCAUCUCUGUCUCUCUGUCUCACUCGCUCACUCGGCCAUCUUUGGGAAACAUCAGAGAAGCCAGUUCCCAGCAGUAAGACACCAUCUACUAGCUUGGUCACCUUGGGCAGCCCUGUCUGUUUUCUCAUCCUUGGUUUGUUCCUUUGUAAUGUGGAGGCGCUCAGCGCUGUUACGUGAAUCAGAGUGAGAUUCAUAUCUGAGCACAUCCUGCUUUGAUGCUGCUUACUACUUGACUUAGGAAGACUUUUCAAAAUUGUCUACUUGAACUUUUCCCGAAUAUAAAUGUGAUACAUGCAUGUUCGCUGUGGAAUAUUUAGGAAAUAUAAAGAAAUUAGAAAACGAAUGAAGAAUGUGUAACACCCCCUCCUUCCAAAGGGUCCACCACUAAGAACGUUUGGCCGCUCUGGGGAAGGUUUUCUAAGUAACUUGAGCACACAGAUGGUCUGUGUGCACAAACCAGGAGGAGUAACUGGGAUAUAAAUGGAGUGUGAGUCUGUGGGGAUGUCUGCGUGUGCUCCCGAGGGUGUGUGUGUGUGUGUGUGCGUGCUCACAUGUGUGUGCAAUGCCUUGGGGUCCUCAGAGGGGGGCCUCGGUCUGAGUAGGGGCCUGCAGCUUCCCUGAUGGAGCACCAGUUCUGUCCCCUGGGUGCCCUUCUCUGAGAGGAGGCGGGGUGCUGGUGUUAAGGGGGGAUUAUGGGAACAUGGCUGGCUCCUCCGUGUUCGUUUCCAGCGACGCUGCAGCCCAGGUGGUCCAGCCCCGCACAGGCCAGGCCGCUCUGGGAUGUGGGCGAGGAAUCCAUUCCCAGAUGCCCCGACGCUACCAGUCCUCGACCCCAUCAUGGUCUGCCUGCCUCCUUCGGGCCCAGCCUUGGGAGCCCCCAGGGCUCGCUUUGUCUGUCUGGCACCCCACCCCACUCCACCAAGAGGCUUUUUCCCUCUUUGGAUUGGGAGGCUGUUCUGUCUUCCCGAGACAGGUAAACAAAACAAAGCUGCAGAUGCUCUUGAAGGUGUUUGUGCCUUCAGUUGCAGGUCAGUUGGUAUAAACAAUCAGUGAAGAGUCUCCCCCAUUGGCUGGACAAUGGAACUGAGGACCCCAGGCCGGGGACAAGUGUUAUUUAUGUUGAUUGGGUGCUGGGAGAGCCUUCAGUGUGGUCACCCUCAAGCCGAACUAAACGUACUGUAUUUGCAGGAUGGUAGUAUAAAACUGACAACAUGACCCAGUCUGUCCCUUUCUCUUUCUCUCCCUUUUGGGUUUCCACGUCUAUUAAAGCCUCAGGUUUCCCAACACGGAUGCUGGUCCUCCCUCUCCCUCCCCUUCUCUCCCGCUCUCCACCACCACGCCCCACUGCCCAGACUAGUUUCUGAGGAAUCAGUAUUUUCUUGCUUGGGGAAGAGGGGCGUAAAUUGUUUUCAUCCGUCCAGGGACAUGGCGUUCACAGAUAAGCCUGAGUAUUGCAAACUGGGGUUCACUUUCUGAAGUCUCUGCAACACCUGCCCCCGUGCUGGCUGGUGGUGAAAGCUGGUUACAUGAGUUCAGCCUGCCACACAGACCAACCUUGUGAAAAAGAGUGUGUCUGACCAUCUGAGCCCUGGGGUCCAAGUGGUAGGCCCUGAUCUUUACAAGGACUUGCUCGCACAGUCACCUAUCUGGUCUUCGACCCACUAGCCCCCGCUUCUGAGCAUCCCCUCAAUGCCAGGCUCUCGGCCAUGGCAGGACCACAUGGGGCCCGGGAUGCAGGGCAUCUGAUAAAAGUUUCUCCCAAGCUGGUGGCUGGCUUGGAUCACAGUGGUUUCAUGUUAGGUAAAAAAUGUCCCUCCUAGGGACUGACCAUGGUCAUUCCUGCUACGCUGCAGCCACAGGAGUAGAUGGGGUCAGGAGGAGAGGCAGGCAGAGGUGAGGGGAAGAAAACAGUUUUCAAAUGGCCACACCUAUCACUCCUCAUUUGGAAGUGCCUCCUGCUACCCUGGGGCUUCAGGAUCUGAUUUAGGGAUGUUAGUCCUCUCCUUCAAGUUCAGCUCAGAUACUCUGGGUUCUUCUGCUGGUCCCUGGUCCCCUACGGAUUUACUUAUUUAUUUGUUGGCCAUGUCAUGCAGCAUGGGGAAUCUUAAUUCCCUGAAUGGGGAUCGAACUCACACCCCCUGAAGCUUAGACUCUUAUCCACUGGACUGCCAAGAAAGUCGAUCCCCUACAGAUUUAAACACACCUGGGUUAUCGCCUCUUUCUAUGAGAAGUUAGAGAUUCCUGGAGGCCUCCAUCAUAUGUGCCACUAUGUAUAGUCCAAAACAACUUACCUUAAGCACCGCAGUUCCUUUAUUUCUAUGUCUUUGAUCUUUCAGACUAGGUCCUGGCUUAGCAGACUGCAUUUCAAAUGUGCUUGUGUGUGUGUGUGUGUGUGUGCAGGCUGCAUUUCAAAUGUGCUUGUGUGUGUGUGUGUGUGUGUGUGUGUGUGUGUGUGUGUGUGCGCGCGCAUGCUCAGUCACUCAGUUGCAGCCCCAUGAACUGUAGCCCACCAGGCUCCUCUGUCCAUGGAAUUUUCCAGGCAAGAAUACUGGAGCAGGUUGCCAUUCCCUCCUCCAGGGCUUCUUCUUGACCCAGGGAUCAAACUGCAUCUCCUGCGGUUCCUGCAGGCAGAUUCUCUACCACUAGCGCCGCCUGGGAAGCCCGUCUGAGAGUGUGGGGAGGGGGUAUAUAACAGAAGGGUGUUUUUCAACAGCCUCUGCCAUUUCAGAAGGCCUGCUCUGCCGGAAAAGGACCAGUGUCCUGCUGAGCCACUUUCCGGCACAUCAUUCAUUCUUUCGUCCCUUUCCUAGCUGCCCGCGAGGAACCCAGCAUGGUACUGGGGGUGUGAAAGCCAGAUCGGCAGCGGAGGACUUCAGGUACAGUGAGACCGACCUCUUACCCCAGAAGCCUAGUGUCUCUUUAGAAAUACUCUGGGUUCUGGCCUUCUCCCAGGAAAUCCAGAUUUGUGUAGCAUGAUGUUAUUCAAGCCUGUUUGAUCCAGCAGGCCCUGCCUCAUUUCCAAAAGCAAGCCUCGCUCUUCAGCUGCUGACCCAGUGUACUUAGCACAGGGGCCCCUCUUAGUUUCGACCAAAUUAAGGAAUCUAUUUCAGCACUUAUUAGGUCAGGGAGUCCUGAUGUGUUCCUUGAUUCAUGCUCUUCCCGUUCCGUAUCUCAUUUACCUGUGUAGCCCCAGGGUGCUUUCUUGGUACCUCCGGGGGCAGUGUUGGCUGGGACAGCGUGGCAUUCCUGAAUUUCUCCCCAUUACUAGCUGAAAGUAGUAGAAUCUGAAUCUUAAAAAGGAAAAUCCAUUGCACAUUUUCUCUGCUAUGAAAGCAGCACAUACUCAUUAGCACAUCUUGAAAAUACUAGAUGAUGAGAAGGAGAGAGAAAAAAUGACAUCUUGUCAUACUUGCUCAGGUAACCAUUGUAUAUUCAUGCCCAGAAAAAGCCCUCCUCUGCUACCAUCAGCCCUGGCAACGAGUUGCUUAAUUAAAAAGAGUAUGAAAGAGAGGAUCAUAAAAAUGAUGAAAACAAAAUACAGGCAUUAUUGUUCUUUAGUCACUAAGUCAUGUCUGACUUUUUUACGACCCCAUGAACUGUAGCCUGCCAGGCUUCUCUGUCCAUGGGAUUUUCCCAGGCAGGCAUACUGCAGUGGGUUGCCAUUUCCUCCUCCAGGGAUCUUCCCUACCCAGGGAUCAAACCCGCGUCUCUUGCAUUGGCAGGUGGAGUAAUUACCACCAAGCCACCAAGGAAGCCCCUGAUACAGGCAUACCUCGAGCAUUUUAUUGUAGUGUAAAAUAUUUCAUUUUAACAUGAAGCCUGUGUUCAUUCUCUCAUUCAUCCUUCUGAUUUAAGCCCCAGGUUUUUCUUGGAUUAUGGGUCCACUGGAUGAUGUCCGAAUUAUCUUUUUUGUAGCAUCCUGUCAUACUUUUUCUGCGAUUCUUGGUUUCUAUAAAGUGAAGUAGGAACUGAGUGCCCAAUAAGUGCAAAUUUUUAUAUAUUUCUAAAUUUAUGCAGCUAUUUUGUUCACGACUAAUUUAACAGUGAUCUUCCUCAGAUAUUCGACUCAUUUCGUAAAAACAGUUCCUUUCUAACGCUUAUUGCAACAGUUGAUGUACAGUUUAAUUAAGUCAGGUAAUCACAGAAGUACAACUGGGAUAAGUAGGCUUGAGGACAAACUCAACCGUGUCUUGGUGAGCUCAGAGUACAGCCUGCCCCGAGAUCCAGCAGGCCAUGGGCGUCACAGAGGGGACUGGACACUUCACACAAUCCAGGGACAGCUCAGGGGACAAAGUUAAGGAAGCUCUGGGUUUUUUUCCUAAUCUUUUUCCUGUCUAUGCUCAUUUUUAUAUAUGGAAAACUUUGUGUGCUUUCCCCUCUUAACUACUGGGAGAGGUCUCAUAAUGUUAUCAACUCCAGGCUACAGUUUUUAACUUAAAUGUGUAUCAGCUAACAUUUUGCUUGUGAUGAAAGAUCGAGAGCUUUCCCUCUAAGAUCAAGAACAAGACAAGGAUGUCUGACAUCCACUUCUGUUUGACCUUGUAUUGGAGGUUCCAGCCACAGCAGUUAGGCAAGAAAAAGAAAUAAAAGACAUCCAGAUUGGAAAGGAAGAAGUAAAACCGUUUGCAGGUGAGAUGAUUUUUGUAUAAGGACGCUACUGAAAAACUCUCAGAGCUUAUUCAUGAGUUCAGCAAAGCUGUGGGAUGUAAGACCAAUGUGGAAAAAUGAAUCGCAUCUCUGUACACUUGCAGUGAACAAUCUGAGGGUUAAAUUAAGAAAAUCAUGUCUUUUAUAGGAGCAUCAGGAAUAGAAUGCUUAGGAAUAAAUGUCACAAAAGAAAUACAAGACUUAAACUCUGGAAAUGACUAAAUAUUUUGAAACAAAUUAAAAGCCUAAUUAAGUGGAAAGACAUCCUAUAUUUAUGGAUUGGAAGGCUUAAUAUCAUUAAGACAGCCCUGCUUCCAAAUUUAAUCUGCAAGUUCAACACAACCCCCAAUGAAAAUUCCAGCUGGACUCUUUGCAGAAAUUGACAAGCUGAGUCUAAAAUUCAUAUGGAAACCUAAGAGACUCAGAAUAGCCCAAACAGUCUUAAAAAGAAGAACUAAGUAGAAGGGCUUACACUUAUUCCUGAUUUCAAAACUUAUUACAAAGCAAGAGUAAUUAAGACAGUGUGGUCCCAACACAAGGAUAGACAUAUAGAUCAAGGGAAUAAGAUUGAGAGUCCAGAAAUAAAUCCUCACAGUUACAGUCAGUUGAUUUUCAAUGAUAGCAGAUAAAUCAAUAGGGAAAGAAUAGUCUUUUCAACCAAUGGUGCUGAUACAUCUGGAUAGCUACGUGUAGAAGAGUGAAUUGGACCUCAACCUCACUCCAUUUAUAACUUACACUAUUAACCUAUAUAUAAAGUCAAAACGGAUCAAAGACUAAACAUAGGAGCUAAAACUGUAAAACUCCAGAAGAAAAAUAGAUCUAAAUCUUCUUUACCUUAAAUUAGGCAAUUAUUUCUUAAAUCUGAUACAAAAAGCAUAAACUUUAGAUAAAUUGGGCUUCAUUAAAAUUAAAAACUUUGGUUCUUCAAAAGAUGCUGUUAAGAAAGUGAAAAGGCAACUCAAAAAAUGAAGCAAAAUAUUUGCACAUCAUAUGUUUUCUAGAAUUUUAUCUGGAAUACGUAAAGAACUCUUACAAUGCAGUAAUAAAAGACAGACCAAUUAAAAAACGGGUAAAGAUUUUGAAUAGACAUUUCUCCAAAGACUAUAUGCAGGGGGCCAAUAAGCAUGUGGGUUUUCCCAGGGGGCACUAGUGGUAAAUAACCCACCUGUCAAUGCAGACUUGAGAGACAUCAGUUCAGUCCCUAGAUGGGGCAGAUCCCUGGAGAAGGAAACGGCAACCUACUCCAGUAUUCUUGUCUGGAGAAUCUCACGGACAGAGGAGCCUGGCAGGCUACAGUCCAUAGGGUUGUAAAGAGUCAGACACGACUGAAGCAACCUAGCACAGCCCAAUAAGCAUGUGAAAAGAUGCUCAACAUCAUGGGAGCAUGAUGCAAAUCAAAACCACAAUGAGAUACCCCUUUGCACCUCUGAGAGUUCUAGAAUUAAAAAGUCUGAUCAAUACAACUGUUGGCAAGGAUUUGUAGAAAUUGGUCCCCUCAUGCACUGCUGGUAGAAAUGAAAAUAGUGGAGCUGCUUUGGAAAAUAGUCGGGUGGUUCCUCACAUGGCUAAACAGAGUUUCUAUAGGAUGUAGCUAUUCUGUGCCCAGGUAUAUACCCCCCAAAAAUGAAAACGAUGUACACACAAAAGCCUGUACAUAAACAUGGAAAAAACUCAUGUCCAUCAGCUGAUGAGUGGAUAAACAAAAGUGAUGUGUCCAUACGUUGGAAUAUUAUUUGGCAAGAAAAAGGAGUGAAACGGUGGCUCAGUGGCAAAGAAUCAGUCUGUGAUGUGGGAGGUGCAGGUUUGAUUCCUAGGGUGGAAAGAUCCCCUGGAGAAGGGAAUGGCAACCCACUCUAGUAUUCUUGCCUGGGAAAUCUUAUGGACAGAGGAGCCUGGCUGCCGUCCACGGGGUUGCAAAAGAGUCAGAUGUGACUUAGCAACUAAACAGCAACAACCAAACGCCCCAACACAGAGCUUGAAAACAAUCUGCUGAGUGAAUACAGUGAGUCACGAAAAGACCACAUAUUGUGUGAUCCCAUUUAUGCGAAAUGUCCUGAAUGGCAAAUCUGUGGAGACUGAAAAUAGAUUCAUGGUUGCCUAGGAUUGGGGUUGGGAGGUUGGGGCAAAUGGGGAGUGACUGCUAAUAAGCACAGGAUUUCUUAAAAUGUUCUAAGGUUGGUUGUGCUGACGGUUGCACAACUCUCUGCAACUAUUGAGUUAUAUGCUUGAAAUUAGUGAGUUGUGUGAUAUGUAGAUUAUAUCUCAACUAGCCGUUAUUUUAAAAACAAAACACCAACACCACUGCUGUCUAUCCAUCCCUCCCCCAUCACCCCCACUGCCGGUAGUCUCCCUCUUUGCCCAUCUCAGAUUUCUAGCAGAGGGAGGUCUUUUGCAUCCUGUUCCUUUGGAAGUAUUUGGGACCCUCCUCUCUCCCCUGCCAUCCCUCUAGGCCCCUUCUUAGAAAGUAGAAUACGCCUCAUUCCCCACCCACACAUCACUGAAACUUUUCCAUUCUAAUCUUGAAUCUCGUUUUCUCAUAAUGGGCUGUCUGGAUCUAAGUUAAUUAUCCUGGAGCGGUUGACUUCAUCUGCCAUCAGCUGGUUCCACUGGCACAGGUCAUGCGUGCUGCAGCAAGACCCAGGCUUGCCUCUUCCUCUGUAGCCCUCUGGGGAUAUCUGGAAUCUGGUCUCACUGCCAAGGGGCCAGGAGAGCCUGCAGCAUCCAGCACAGGCCUCCAGGGGAAAGAGAGGUGGGGUUGUUUUUAAUGUCAAGAAUUGUUGUUCAGUCGCUCAGUCGUGUCCAACUCUUUGUGACGCCAUGGACUGCAGAACGCCAGGCCUCCCUGUCCAUCACCAACUCCUGGAGUUUGCUCAAACUCAUGUCCAUUCAAUCAGUGAUGCCACCCAACCAUCUCAUCCUCUGUUGUCCCCUUCUCCUCCUGCCUUCAGUCUUUCCCAGCAUUAGGGUCUUUUCUAAUGAGUCAGCUAUUUGCAUCAGGUGGAACCCACCCUUAAAGAGCUUACUCCUUAGAAGAAUCUUGUAGUCUUUCUGCCCAACUAUUAGUAGUAGUGAUAGUAAGCUCUUUAAAGGCAUUCUUGACAUUAAAAAAUUCUGAGCAGGUUAGACAUGUAAUGCUUUAUGAUUUUAAUUGAUCAUUGAAAACGAAGACUUUUCAUGCAAAUUGUGCUUGGUUGGUUCUGUGGAGACAGAGUGGUUGGCAGUUUGCUUGACCUCAUUUAGAUGCGGACAGAGAUAAUGCCCACUACCCUGUGCUGGUCGUCAGUCUGUGCAGCUUGCCAUUGAUUUGCUGGGAGAUUUGACCUUGGAGAGGUCACUGGCCUUUUUGCACCUCAGUUUCCUCAUCUGUCUAGUGUGAAGUAUGUCUGCCCUGUUGGCCUUGAAAUUUGGUUUGACAAGCAGUGAGGGUCUGUGUAGGCGUCUUGGGGCCUUGGACCAUGGGGUGAAGGUGACAUCCGGGGCGAGGCAAGCCCCCGCACCCCCCUGGCCCCUGCCACUCUUCCUGUGAGGCUGCAGCCUCCUCAGUUUCUCCCCCUGGGCUGGCUGGAAGCCUGGGGGUAUCACAAAGGUGCUUCAUGUGGGUCCUGGAGAGGGGAGGUGGGGGGUGGGGUCAAGAGAAGGAAAAGUCAGUUUUUAGAGCCCAAAGAGGGGGCAGUAGCUCCCAGAUUUAAGGGUUUUGUGAACUGGUUUAAAAAAAAAUUAUAUUUUUUAAAGUUAGGGCCAAGAUAGGGUUUCUAACUUCCAAUUUCAUCACAUAAGGACAUAAAGCAUUCUCAUCUACUGUUAUUAGUCUUUUAUAAUAUAAGGGGCAUUUUAUUUUAAGCUUCAUUUCCUUCCUUAUUUUUACUGAAGGAUUGUUGAUUUGUAAUACUGUGUUAGUUUGAGGCAUGCAACAAAAUGAGUCAGCUAUAUGUAUGCAUGUACAUGGUGCAUAUACUUCAGAUUCUUUUCCAUUUUGGAUUAUUAUAAGACAUUGAAUAUAUUUUCCUGUGCUACCCAAUAGGACUCGGUGGUUAGUGGUGUGAAUAUAGUAGUGUGUACCUGCUAAUCCCAUGCUUCUGAUUUAUCCCCCCCCCCCUCAUUCUGCCCCCUUU
ensembl:lncRNA